CUGACACAGAGGGGGAACCCCUUCAGUGGAUGGGUCCUUCCUGCCACAGACUAAAUGUAAAUAAAGUCCUUCUGCUGUGUCUUCAGUGAGGAUGGAGAACAGAGGGCUGCUCAAGGUCAAGUUGUAUACUUGGAGGCUGGAGAAGAAGCCCCACACAGAGAAAGCCCAGGUUUGUCCACAUGCAAUCCAGAGUGUCCCAGGAGGGAAACCCCGGGGCAGGUGAUACCUACAGGCAACUGCAACAAUGACUGGAGGGUAAAUGUGGACCAAGGUGUGAGCUGGGGCACCAUACAAAAGAGAAGGGUGAGGAAGAAGCUGCAGCACAAAAUGGAGAUUAGAGGGAAAAACGAGGUUAGUGGAGCCAUCAUCAUCUGCUUGCCCGAUGCACACAGCAAGUCAAUAUGCCGAGACACCGGGUUGAAGCAGAGAAAGAGGUUUAACUGUAGUGUCACUGAAUGAGGAGAUGGGAGAAAACCUCAUCUCCAUCUCUCCAAGGAAUUUGGGGUUAGGGUUCUUAAGGGUUUUGGAGUGGGCAGAAGUGCGGAGAUCAUUGAUUGGUGGAAGACUGCAGGCUGAAGUCCUGGGACAGGGAGAGGAAUAAGCUGUAUUCUCACGGGGAUCCCGUUCCUCUGUGGGGAUCUUCAGACUGGGUGCUGGAAUUGGGGGGUCUGAAAAAACCUUUUAGGUCGGGUGCAGUGGCUCACGC
rnacentral:lncRNA from 10 species